AGGGUUUGAUCAUGGCUCAGAUUGAACGCUGGCGGCAGGCCUAACACAUGCAAGUCGAACGGUAACGGGAAGAAGCUUGCUUCUUUGCCGACGAGUGGCGGACGGGUGAGUAAUACUUAGGAAUAUGCCUUUGUGUGGGGGAUAACUAUUGGAAACGAUAGCUAAUACCGCAUAACGUCUUCGGAAUACCGCAUAACGUCUUCGGACCAAAGGGGGCUUUCGGGCUCCCGCGCAAAGAGUAGCCUAAGCGAGAUUAGCUUGUUGGUGAGGUAAAGGCUCACCAAGGCGACGAUCUCUAGCUGUUCUGAGAGGAAGAUCAGCCACACUGGGACUGAGACACGGCCCAGACUCCUACGGGAGGCAGCAGUGGGGAAUAUUGCACAAUGGGGGGAACCCUGAUGCAGCCAUGCCGCGUGUGUGAAGAAGGCCUUCGGGUUGUAAAGCACUUUCAGUUGUGAGGAAAACAUAGUAGUUAAUAGCUGCAUACUUUGACGUUAGCGAUAGAAGAAGCACCGGCUAACUCCGUGCCAGCAGCCGCGGUAAUACGGAGGGUGCGAGCGUUAAUCGGAAUUACUGGGCGUAAAGCGCAUGCAGGCGGUUUAUUAAGUCAGAUGUGAAAGCCCUGGGCUCAACCUAGGAAAGUCAUUUGAAACUGGUAAACUAGAGUCUUGUAGAGGGGGGUAGAAUCUUAGGUGUAGCCGUGAAAUGCGUAGAGAUCUGAAGGAAUACCAGUGGCGAAGGCGGCCCCCUGGACAAAGACUGACGCUCAGAUGCGAAAGCGUGGGGAGCAAACGGGAUUAGAUACCCCGGUAGUCCACGCCGUAAACGAUGUCUACUUGAAGGUUGUGGCCUUGAGCCGUGGCUUUCGCAGCUAACGCGAUAAGUUGACCGCCUGGGGAGUACGGCCGCAAGGUUAAAACUCAAAUGAAUUGACGGGGGCCCGCACAAGCGGUGGAGCAUGUGGUUUAAUUCGAUGCAACGCGAAGAACCUUACCAUCCCUUGACAUCCACAGAACUUUCCAGAGAUGGAUUGGUGCCUUCGGGAACUGUGAGACAGGUGCUGCAUGGCUGUCGUCAGCUCGUGUUGUGAAAUGUUGGGUUAAGUCCCGCAACGAGCGCAACCCCUAUCCUUAUUUGCCAGCGAGUAGUGUCGGGAACGUUAAGUAGACUGCCGGUGAUAAACCGGAGGAAGGCGGGGACGACGUCAAGUCAUCAUGGCCCUUACGAGUAGGGCUACACACGUGCUACAAUGGCAGGUACAGAGGGCAGCAAUACCGCGAGGUGAAGCCAAUCCCAGAAAGCUUGUCGUAGUCCGGAUCGGAGUCUGCAACUCGACUCCGUGAAGUCGGAAUCGCUAGUAAUCGUGGAUCAGAAUGCCACGGUGAAUACGUUCCCGGGCCUUGUACACACCGCCCGUCACACCAUGGGAGUGGGUUGCAAAAGAAGUAGCUAGUUUAACCUUCGGGGGGGGCGUUUACCACGGUGUGGUUCAUGACUGGGGUGAAGUCGUAA
rnacentral:rRNA from 1 species